AGCGAACGCUGGCGGCAGGCCUAACACAUGCAAGUCGAACGAACCUUUCGGGGUUAGUGGCGGACGGGUGAGUAACACGUGGGAACGUGCCUUUAGGUUCGGAAUAACUCAGGGAAACUUGUGCUAAUACCGAAUGUGCCCUUCGGGGGAAAGAUUUAUCGCCUUUAGAGCGGCCCGCGUCUGAUUAGCUAGUUGGUUGAGGUAAUGGCUCACCAAGGCGACGAUCAGUAGCUGGUCUGAGAGGAUGGUCAGCCACAUUGGGACUGAGACACGUCCCAAACUCCUGCGGGAGGCAGCAGUGGGGAAUCUUGCGCAAUGGGCGAAAGCCUGACGCAGCCAUGCCGCGUGAAUGAUGAAGGUCUUAGGAUUGUAAAAUUCUUUCACCGGGGACGAUAAUGACGGUACCCGGAGAAGAAGCCCCGGCUACCUUCGU
rnacentral:rRNA from 1 species